GAUGAACGCUGGCGGCGUGCCUAAUACAUGCAAGUCGAGCGAACAGACGAGGAGCUUGCUCCUCUGACGUUAGCGGCGGACGGGUGAGUAACACGUGGAUAACCUACCUAUAAGACUGGGAUAACUUCGGGAAACCGGAGCUAAUACCGGAUAACAUGUUGAACCGCAUGGUUCAACAGUGAAAGACGGUUUUGCUGUCACUUAUAGAUGGAUCCGCGUCGCAUUAGCUAGUUGGUAAGGUAACGGCUUACCAAGGCAACGAUGCGUAGCUGACCUGAGAGGGUGAUCGGCCACACUGGAACUGAGACACGGUCCAGACUCCUACGGGAGGCAGCAGUAGGGAAUCUUCCGCAAUGGGCGAAAGCCUGACGGAGCAACGCCGCGCGAGUGAAGAAGGUCUUCGGAUCGUAAAACUCUGUUAUUAGGGAAGAACAAAUGUGUAAGUAACUAUGCACGUCUUGACGGUACCUAAUCAGAAAGCCACGGCUAACUACGUG
rnacentral:rRNA from 1 species